UCCUACAUUAAGAUGAUUUAAAAUUUAAAAAAAAAGAAAAUGGUGAAAACAGAAUUUUGAGCCUUUGUGCAAAGGGACAAAAAGGUUUAGUGUUUACAGUUUAGAGAUAAAGGCGGAAACAGGCCCUUCUGCCCACCGAGUCCGCACCGACCAGCGAUCACCGCACAUUAACACCAUCCUACACACACUGGGGAAAAUUCACAUUUAUACCAAGCCAAUUAACCCACAAACCUGUACGUCUUUGUAGUGUGGGAGGAAACUGAAGGUCUCAGAGAAAAUCCACACAGUCACAGGGAGAACGUACAAACUCCGCACAGACAGCACCCGUAGUCAUGAUCAAACCUGGGUCUCCGGUGCUAUAAGGUAUCAACUCUACCGCUGCACCAUCGUGCCGCACUUUUUCGGUUGUUUACUUAUGAGCAUACCUUUUUAUCCUUCUCUUGGAGCUGACUGACCUGGUGUGCAAAUCCAAACCUUGUCUGUGCAGCACUUAUAUAUCUUUUUUCCUAUAUUAGGUUGCGUAGUGGUUUAAUUGUAGGAACUGUAAUGAAUGAAAUGCUUUUGCAUUAUGUCUGUAAGAACAAACGUGGAUGUUUGGUCAGGGACGGGUUAUUAUAAUGUAUAUGGUUUUUUUUAAUAUGGGAGCAUGGCAUCGUACAUCGACAUUAUUAACUGCAACCACAGUUUUGUUGAAAGAUUAUGACACAAACAAAACAUCUGAGGAAGUACACAUUGCCAAAUGAAGCUGACUAGAACAUGGUCAUGCUUGGCCAGUUCCAAUCUGAAUGGAAAUGCAACCAUAUAAAUACUUGUGUUUGGCUACAUAUGGAACAGAGAGUCACUCAGCAAGAGUUUAAUUUCAAUAAUUGAACCUCACAUUGUUUAUGUAUUAAUUAAAAUCACUGUGAAAAACAACCGUAGCAGGUUAAAUGUUCCUUUGGGCCAUCCGCUGAUUUAAGAAUAUAGCCACAUUCUAAAGUGUCUGUGCUCAUUUCAUGCCAUGUUAAUCAAACACAAAAAUACUGCGUAGUAAAAAAAAUCAUGGCUAACUCGUCACUGGUAUACAAUCAAAUAAGAAACUAUGAAUCUGUUCAAAUUACUCUCACUUCACUUAAAGUGAGAAGGGCCAUCAAAGUGCUGCCAGUUUCUGCCACACACUAUGAUUACUUGUCAGACAAACAGAUGGAGAGUUUAAAGGCCACGAGCCAUAUUGUGACAGAAAAGAUUCCAUUCUUUGUUUGGCACACUCUUAGGUCUUUGCAAAUGGGAAAGAGGAAUGCCUUUCUGCUUCAAACACCAUCAACAGUUUUGCUGCUGCUGCACUAAAACAAGUUGUAUCAUGCCUAUGCACUGUGAAAUAUUCCAGCACACUAGCUGACUAGAAUAGGAUUUGUGGUUCAACAUGGCUAAUAACAAUUUUUAUUCUUUUCCAAGUGUCUCUGAGAGUAUAUUUUCCCUCCCGUUAAACUGUUUUAAGUCAGAUUAUUGCCAUCAUCAGAAGAUUUGUGCUUUGACUGAAAUAUAAUUAAGUUUUUCCAUCUAAUUUAGGUUUGAAUAAUUCUAGCUGUGAAAAACAUUUUAAAAUCUCAUUUACAACUUUAUUUUAGCAAAAAAACUUUUUAAAAAGUAGCUUAAAAAAAAGUUUGCUUUGCUCAAGUCGUCAAUUCUUAACGUGCCUGAAAGGCACAUAAUUGGGUGACAAACAACACAUUAGGAAUCGCAAGAUUGCAGUUUCCUUGUGAGUGAUGGGCUGAAAGCAAUGCAUGUAAACCACCCUAAAAGACAAACGUCAAUAAUGAUUUCAAUCUUUCAAUUCACCAGUCUGACCAGGAUUGCUGAACAGGAAUCGUUGUAUUAUUCUUAUAACUCGGAAUUCCGAAAACCGAAAAGCUCCGAAAACAGAACACAUGCAUGUAAGUAUAUUUUCAUGUGUUUAGCUUAGUUUAGCUUAGUUUAUGUUUAAAGUUUUACUUAAUGUUUUAUCUUUUUUUUUAAUUAUUUAU